AAACAAUAAGAAAACUUAAAAGAUUUCAAAAGAAAUCCACAAUAAAUCUUAAAAGAAUUUCUUAAAAAUCCUAAAGAAAAAUUAGAAUAAUGACAAAUACACCUUAAUAAAUUUCAACCAAGACCUAAUUUAAUCUUAAUCAAAAUCCUAAUGGACUUCAAUCAAAUUCUAGGCCAAAUCCUAAAUCCUAAAUCCUAAAUAAAUCCUAAAUCAUAAAUCCUAAGAAAAUCCUAAACCAAAUCCUAAACUCUAAUCCAAUCCUAAAUCUUAAUCAAAUUUUAAUGAAAUCUUAAGCAAAUCUUAAAUUCUAAAUUCUAAAUUCUAAGCAAAUCCUAAUCCAAAUCCUAAAUCUUAAUUCAAUCCUAAAUUCUAAUCAAAUCUUAAUAAAAUCCUAAAUUCUAAUUCAAUCCUAACCCUAAACCAAAGCUUUACUAAAACUUUAGCAAUUUAACAUAAUC
rnacentral:lncRNA from 1 species